UACGGGGGGGGCAAGCGUUGUUCGGAAUUACUGGGCGUAAAGGGCUCGUAGGCGGCCAACUAAGUCGGAUGUGAAAUCCCCAGGCUUAACCUGGGAACUGCAUCCGAUACUGGAUGGCUUGAAUUCGGGAGAGGGAUGCAGAAUUCCAGGUGUAGCGGUGAAAUGCGUAGAUAUCUGGAGGAAUACCGGUGGCGAAGGCGGCAUCCUGGACCGACAUUGACGCUGAGGAGCGAAAGCGUGGGUAGCGAACAGG
rnacentral:rRNA from 1 species